GGGGGAUAACUACUGGAAACGGUAGCUAAUACCGCAUAACGUCUCCGGACCAAAGUGGGGGACCUUCGGGCCUCACACCAUCGGAUGUGCCCAGAUGGGAUUAGCUUGUAGGUGGGGUAAUGGCUCACCUAGGCGACGAUCCCUAGCUGGUCUGAGAGGAUGACCAGCCACACUGGAACUGAGACACGGUCCAG
rnacentral:rRNA from 1 species